GGCGGGGUAUCCGAGCCAGGUCUAAAUAGGUGGCCAGACAAUCCUCUGGCGCAGGCCUUCGUGGGUUCAAGUCCCACCCCCGCCACCA
rnacentral:tRNA from 1 species